rnacentral:rRNA from 1 species
GAUGAACGCUGGCGGCGUGCCUAAUACAUGCAAGUCGAGCGAACAGACGAGGAGCUUGCUCCUCUGACGUUAGCGGCGGACGGGUGAGUAACACGUGGAUAACCUACCUAUAAGACUGGGAUAACUUCGGGAAACCGGAGCUAAUACCGGAUAAUAUAUUGAACCGCAUGGUUCAAUAGUGAAAGACGGUUUUGCUGUCACUUAUAGAUGGAUCCGCGCCGCAUUAGCUAGUUGGUAAGUUAACGGCUUACCAAGGCAACGAUGCGUAGCCGACCUGAGAGGGUGAUCGGCCACCCUGGAACUGAGACACGGUCCAGACUCCUACGGGAGGCCGCAGUAGGGAAUCUUCCGCAAUGGGCGAAAGCCUGACGGAGCAACGCCGCGUGAGUGAUGAAGGUCUUCGGAUCGUAAAACUCUGUUAUUAGGGAAGAACAAAUGUGUAAGUAACUAUGCACGUCUUGACGGUACCUAAUCAGAAAGCCACGGCUAACUACGUG